rnacentral:rRNA from 1 species
UGGGGAAAUUGGGCAAUGGGCGAAAGCCUGACGCAGCGACGCCGCGUGAGGGAUGACGGCCUUCGGGUUGUAAACCUCUUUCAGCAGGGAAGAAGCGAAAGUGACGGUACCUGCAGAAGAAGCGCCGGCUAACUACGUGCCAGCAGCCGCGGUAAUAA